CCCAACUUGCAUUUGGUGUCCCUACUUGC
rnacentral:piRNA from 1 species